rnacentral:tRNA from 2 species
UAUAACCCCAGAGAUGGGCA